GGUUAAGCGACUAAGCGUACACGGUGGAUGCCCUGGCAGUCAGAGGCGAUGAAGGACGUGCUAAUCUGCGAAAAGCGCCGGCGAGGUGAUAUGAACCCUUGACCCGGCGAUGUCCGAAUGGGGAAACCCAGUGCAAUCCGUUGCACUAUCGUUAACUGAAUACAUAGGUUAACGAGGCGAACCGGGGGAACUGAAACAUCUAAGUACCCCGAGGAAAAGAAAUCAACCGAGAUUCCCCCAGUAGCGGCGAGCGAACGGGGAGCAGCCCAGAGUCUGAAUCAGCUUGUGUGUUAGUGGAAGCGUCUGGAAAGUCGCACGGUACAGGGUGAAAGUCCCGUACACGAAAGCACACAGGCUGUGAACUCGAAGAGUAGGGCGGGACACGUGGUAUCCUGUCUGAAUAUGGGGGGACCAUCCUCCAAGGCUAAAUACUCCUGACUGACCGAUAGUGAACCAGUACCGUGAGGGAAAGGCGAAAAGAACCCCGGCGAGGGGAGUGAAAAAGAACCUGAAACCGUGUACGUACAAGCAGUGGGAGCACCUUCGGGUGUGACUGCGUACCUUUUGUAUAAUGGGUCAGCGACUUAUAUUCUGUAGCAAGGUUAACCGUAUAGGGGAGCCGAAGGGAAACCGAGUCUUAACUGGGCGUUAAGUUGCAGGGUAUAGACCCGAAACCCGGUGAUCUAGCCAUGGGCAGGUUGAAGGUUGGGUAACACUAACUGGAGGACCGAACCGACUAAUGUUGAAAAAUUAGCGGAUGACCUGUGGCUGGGGGUGAAAGGCCAAUCAAACCGGGAGAUAGCUGGUUCUCCCCGAAAGCUAUUUAGGUAGCGCCUCGUGAACUCAUCUUCGGGGGUAGAGCACUGUUUCGGCUAGGGGGCCAUCCCGGCUUACCAACCCGAUGCAAACUACGAAUACCGAAGAAUGUUAUCACGGGAGACACACGGCGGGUGCUAACGUCCGUCGUGAAGAGGGAAACAACCCAGACCGCCAGCUAAGGUCCCAAAGUCAUGGUUAAGUGGGAAACGAUGUGGGAAGGCCCAGACAGCCAGGAUGUUGGCUUAGAAGCAGCCAUCAUUUAAAGAAAGCGUAAUAGCUCACUGGUCGAGUCGGCCUGCGCGGAAGAUGUAACGGGGCUAAACCAUGCACCGAAGCUGCGGCAGCGACGCUUAUGCGUUGUUGGGUAGGGGAGCGUUCUGUAAGCCGUUGAAGGUGGCCUGUGAGGGUUGCUGGAGGUAUCAGAAGUGCGAAUGCUGACAUAAGUAACGAUAAAGCGGGUGAAAAGCCCGCUCGCCGGAAGACCAAGGGUUCCUGUCCAACGUUAAUCGGGGCAGGGUGAGUCGACCCCUAAGGCGAGGCCGAAAGGCGUAGUCGAUGGGAAACAGGUUAAUAUUCCUGUACUUGGUGUUACUGCGAAGGGGGGACGGAGAAGGCUAUGUUAGCCGGGCGACGGUUGUCCCGGUUUAAGCAUGUAGGCGGAGGUUCCAGGUAAAUCCGGUACCUUUUAACGCUGAGGUGUGAUGACGAGGCACUACGGUGCUGAAGUAACAAAUGCCCUGCUUCCAGGAAAAGCCUCUAAGCAUCAGGUAACACGAAAUCGUACCCCAAACCGACACAGGUGGUCAGGUAGAGAAUACCAAGGCGCUUGAGAGAACUCGGGUGAAGGAACUAGGCAAAAUGGUGCCGUAACUUCGGGAGAAGGCACGCUGAUAUGUAGGUGAAGCCCCUGCGGGUGGAGCUGAAAUCAGUCGAAGAUACCAGCUGGCUGCAACUGUUUAUUAAAAACACAGCACUGUGCAAACACGAAAGUGGACGUAUACGGUGUGACGCCUGCCCGGUGCCGGAAGGUUAAUUGAUGGGGUUAGCGGUAACGCGAAGCUCUUGAUCGAAGCCCCGGUAAACGGCGGCCGUAACUAUAACGGUCCUAAGGUAGCGAAAUUCCUUGUCGGGUAAGUUCCGACCUGCACGAAUGGCGUAAUGAUGGCCAGGCUGUCUCCACCCGAGACUCAGUGAAAUUGAACUCGCUGUGAAGAUGCAGUGUACCCGCGGCAAGACGGAAAGACCCCGUGAACCUUUACUAUAGCUUGACACUGAACACUGGUCCUUGAUGUGUAGGAUAGGUGGGAGGCUUUGAAGCGUGGACGCCAGUCUGCGUGGAGCCGUCCUUGAAAUACCACCCUUUAAUGGCUGGUGUUCUAACGUAGACCCGUAAUCCGGGUUGCGGACAGUGUCUGGUGGGUAGUUUGACUGGGGCGGUCUCCUCCCAAAGAGUAACGGAGGAGCACGAAGGUUAGCUAAUCCUGGUCGGACAUCAGGAGGUUAGUGCAAUGGCAUAAGCUAGCUUGACUGCGAGAGUGACGGCUCGAGCAGGUGCGAAAGCAGGUCAUAGUGAUCCGGUGGUUCUGAAUGGAAGGGCCAUCGCUCAACGGAUAAAAGGUACUCCGGGGAUAACAGGCUGAUACCGCCCAAGAGUUCAUAUCGACGGCGGUGUUUGGCACCUCGAUGUCGGCUCAUCACAUCCUGGGGCUGAAGUAGGUCCCAAGGGUAUGGCUGUUCGCCAUUUAAAGUGGUACGCGAGCUGGGUUUAGAACGUCGUGAGACAGUUCGGUCCCUAUCUGCCGUGGGCGCUGGAGAAUUGAGGGGGGCUGCUCCUAGUACGAGAGGACCGGAGUGGACGCAUCACUGGUGUUCGGGUUGUCAUGCCAAUGGCACUGCCCGGUAGCUAAAUGCGGAAGAGAUAAGUGCUGAAAGCAUCUAAGCACGAAACUUGCCCCGAGAUGAGUUCUCCCUGAGACUUUGAGUCUCCUGAAGGAACGUUGAAGACGACGACGUUGAUAGGUCGGGUGUGUAAGCGCAGCGAUGCGUUGAGCUAACCGAUACUAAUGAACCGUGAGGCUUAACCUU
rnacentral:rRNA from 1 species